UUGAACUGAAGAGUUUGAUCCUGGCUCAGAUUGAACGCUGGCGGCAUGCCUUACACAUGCAAGUCGAACGGCAGCACGGGCUUCGGCCUGGUGGCGAGUGGCGAACGGGUGAGUAAUACAUCGGAACAUGUCCUGUAGUGGGGGAUAGCCCGGCGAAAGCCGGAUUAAUACCGCAUACGAUCUACGGAUGAAAGCGGGGGACCUUCGGGCCUCGCGCUAUAGGGUUG
rnacentral:rRNA from 1 species